rnacentral:lncRNA from 1 species
CUCACUCUCCCUCCCUCCCUUCUCUCUCUUACUCACUCCCUCUAUCUCCUUCCUCUCUCCCUUUUCUCUGUAAACUCCCUCUCUCUCCUUCUUCUUUCUCCCUCUUCUCUGUUCUACCGUUCUGAAAUGGAACAUUUGGCUAUCAUUAUACCUUCGUUUUACGGAGGUAUUUUCCUCCUGUUUGUGCUCUAUGCCUGCAUUGUUUACUUAGUAAAACCUGCAGAGGAGGAAAAUGACGCUCAGGGACAACCUCCGGAGGGGGUGGAUGUUGCUCAGCCGCCUGCUCAGCCGGGACAACCUCCGGAGGGGGGUAAUGAUGCUCAGGGACAACCUCUGGAGGAAAUGAAUGUUGCUCAGCCACCUGUUCAGCCGGGACAACCUCCGGAGGGGGGGAAUGUUGCUCAGCCCCCUGCACAGCCGGG